rnacentral:rRNA from 12 species
AGGAGGCAUACCCGGGGAACUGAAACAUCUAAGUACCCGGAGGAAGAGAAAACAAUAGUGAUUCCCUAAGUAGUGGCGAGCGAACGCGGAUUAGCCCAAACCAUACCCGUUACGGCGAGUAUGGGGUUGUAGGACUGUUAAGUGCGUAUAUAAGAGAACUGGAACCAUCUGGAAAGUUGGAUCAUAGAGGGUGAAAAUCCCGUACAGGCAAUUUUAUAUACCGGGACAGUAUCCUGAGUAGGGCGGAGCAGGUGAAACUCCGUUUGAACCA